AUGAACGCUGGCGGCGUGCCUAAUACCUGCAAGUCGCGCGCACGGACGAGAAGCUUGCUUCUCUGAUGUUAGCGGCGGACGGGUGAGUAACACGUGGAUAACCUACCUAUAAGACUGGGAUAACUUCGGGAAACCGGAGCUAAUACCGGAUGAUAUUUUGAACCGCAUGGUUCAAAAGUGAAAGACGGUCUUGCUGUCACUUAUAGAUGGAUCCGCGCUGCAUUAGCUAGUUGGUAAGGUAACGGCUUACCAAGGCAACGAUGCAUAGCCGACCUGAGAGGGUGAUCGGCCACACUGGAACUGAGACACGGUCCAGACUCCUACGGGAGGCAGCAGUGGGGAAUCUUCCGCAAUGGGCGAAAGCCUGACGGAGCAACGCCGCGUGAGUGAUGAAGGUCUUCGGAUCGUAAAACUCUGUUAUUAGGGAAGAACAUAUGUGUAAGUAACUGUGCACAUCUUGACGGUACCUAAUCAGAAAGCCACGGCUAACUACGUG
rnacentral:rRNA from 1 species